ACACGACUACAUUAGAUACCCCCGUAGUCCUAGGCGUAAAUGAUGCGAGUUAAGUGUGGGGGCAUCUACGAGAUGGCCCUGUGCUGUAGGGUAGCCGUUAAACUCGCUGCCUGGGAAGUACGGUCGCAAGGCUGAAACUUAAAGGAAUUGGCGGGGAGCACCACAACGGGUGGAGCCUGCGGUUUAAUUGGACUCAACGCCGGAAAUCUCACCGGAUAGGACAGACAUAUGAUAGUCGGGCUGAAGACUCUACUUGAUGAUCUG
rnacentral:rRNA from 1 species